AAUGGAGUUAUCGACAUGGGGAGCUGAAUGUAAUCCGCCUCCAUCGGCUUAAUGAGUUUGCAGAGUUGAAGGCCCAGGCCUAAUCCCCCCAGUUUCCUGGAUCUGUAUCAUAGGGAGGGGAUGACCUGACCUGGUGGUGGAGGGUCUGAUGCAUGGGUCCGAUAUGCCACAAGACAAAUAUUGAAGACUUAAUGAAUUUAACAAAGUUAACUGCCAAG